rnacentral:tmRNA from 1 species
GGGGCUGACAGGAAUCGACAGUAAACGUCUUAUGUCAGUAAGCAUGCCGGGGCACGAUGGUUCACCUCGUUACUAAAUGGUCAUCAACCAAUAAUUGGCGAAACACGUUUCGCAUUGGCUGCCUAGUUCUAGGAAUUAGAGCGCCUUUAUGCUAAGGGUUUAAUAUCUGCCAUAACCCAUCUAGCAUUCAUCCAUGCAGGUUAAGCCAAAGGGAAGUCCCGACCAGAGGCCGACAAUCAAAGGGAAUCGGAUAUCACCGCGUCGUUGCAGUACCUGGUGAUGUCUUAAAACCGAUCUGCAACUAAGCAUGUAGAAGGCUGAUGUAACUUUUAGCUGGACGGGGGUUCAAUUCCCCCCAGCUCCACCA